rnacentral:tRNA from 2 species
GCACACGUGGCGAAGCGGCUAACGCCUCCGCCUGCAGAGCGGAUAUUCGCAGGUUCGAGUCCUGCCGUGUGCU